rnacentral:lncRNA from 1 species
UGUAAUCCCAGGAAGAGUGGACCCAUAAGGCUGGCAUCCUGGACUACAGACACUAAACUGCAGAACUCAAGGAAGCACACUGGACCUGUUUUUAUGUAAAUUCACAGCUAGACGGUGGUGGUGUAUGCCUUUAAUCCUCACACUGAGGCAAAGGCAGACGGAUCUCUGAGUUCGAGGCCAGCUUGAUCUACAGAGUGAAUACCAGGAUAGCCAGGGCUACACAGAGAAACCCUGCCUGGAAAAACAAACAAACAAAAUACAAACAAGAGGUAAAUUGGCAUCCAACUCAACAUAGUAAAAUUCAACCCUGAAUACUUGUUCAGAUGUAUAAAGCCAUUCUGUGAUUAGUUUUGAGCUUGAAAAUUUCAAUGCAGAUGUUAAAUCUGUUGAUUUCUAUUUAUCUUAUCUUUGUUAUCAUAAAAGACUAUGUAAAAGCAAUUUGCUUCAAGUUGUUGGUGUUCUUUCAUUUUAUGUGUCCCUGCAAUAUGGGAAGAAAUAGUAAGUCAUACUCACCUCCUGUUACCU